UGGGCGGGAAAGGACGGACGGGUUAAGUAGCCAAUCACCAAUUGCGCUCCAGCCAGAGGGGCGAUGUUCUUGGGGAGCCUGGGGAUCUGGAAGAAGUUCAGUGUGAGGACGAGUGUUAGGAAAUAAGGCUGAAGACAGAGGCAACCCUGGAGGAUCUUCUAACCCAUGUCAAGCAGUUGAGAAUUUAUGGAGUGAAAUAGCAAGCCAUUGAAGAGUUUCAAGCUUUCAUCCAGCUUUUAAGGGAAACUAAUAUCUCAUGAAAUUGUGAGGGCCUGGAAUCUUCAAAGAGCCAAGGAUUCUGCCAGACUGAGCAAUAGACUUGAUGAGCAUUCUCCACUUAAGAUCUGAACUAUGAGAAGUCGAAUCAAAGCAGUUCUUUUGUAAUUCCAAACAGCCAUUUAGACAUAUGAAGAAAUGAAAGUAAAGCAGUUCUAAAGACAAGGAAGAGGGUCAAUGAAAGGUGCUCCCAAUGCAAUCACAAAGAUCUUUAAAAGUGGAAGAAGGUGGGAGAGGUCAGAGUGAUACGAAGAGAACUCAGUCUACCACUGCUGGCUUUGAAGAUGGAAGAAUGGGGCUAUGAGCCCUGGAUUGCGGGCAGCCUGCAGAAGCUGGGGCAGAGAUUCCACACAGGCACCUCUAGAAAAUAAUGCAGCCAGCCAAUCCUUAGACUUUAUCCCAGUGAGAGUCAAGUUGGACUUCUGACCUACAAAAGAGAAACAGCUUUUCCUGCUUUGGCAUCAAAACCAUAUCAACAAAAGCCCAAACCAGAACACACAGCUCAGUGGAAGAUGGAUACGCCCAUGUUUUCAAGAUACAGCAAAAAGGCAGCCAUCUGAAAGGCAGGAAGAGAGCCCUUACCAGAAACCGAGCUCUGCUGGACCUUGUCCUUGGACUUUCCAGCCUCCAGAACACCCUUUGACACAGCCGACAAAGAUCCUGACAGAUAAAUUGGUGUGGGCCUGUCUUUCUGGGACCUUCUUGCCUGAAAUUAUUUCAAGACCAGUUUUCUCAGCCAUAGAGUAUGUGCAGCAGAGGUCUGUAUCUUCUGCAGGUUGAUGUGCUCCUGUGCAACUGGAUGGGUCCCAGUUCAUGGCCCCAGGGCCAACACAGACUAUUAAUGUUUCAAUGAAUUACCUAAGGAGCACCAUGAAAAAAACACACCAUGGUACUGGCAAUUGUUUGAAGAAGGUCCUAAAUAUGCCUGGGUUUGGGAGUCUCGGCUUCUACUGGGAAUGAUACAAGAGGUCAAGGCUACUUGUAAUGAAUAAAUCCUGUUCUCUGCCA
rnacentral:lncRNA from 1 species